rnacentral:rRNA from 1 species
UACGUAGGGGGCAAGCGUUGUCCGGAAUCAUUGGGCGUAAAGCGUGCGCAGGCGGUUAUGCAAGACAGAGGUGAAAUCCCCGGGCUCAACCUGGGAACUGCCUUUGUGACUGCAUGACUAGAGUACGGUAGAGGGGGAUGGAAUUCCGCGUGUAGCAGUGAAAUGCGUAGAUAUGCGGAGGAACACCGAUGGCGAAGGCAAUCCCCUGGACCUGUACUGACGCUCAUGCACGAAAGCGUGGGGAGCAAACAGG